CUGCAGCCCCUUGAGCCAGGACCAGAGGAAGCACAAGUGGAAGCACAGAGGAGGGAGCCACCAUGAGAUGACAAGAGACCCAGGGCAGCCGGAAGAUGGCAGAGCAGGUACAGGAAGCCACCCUGGACUCUUCACAGCCCAGAAGCAAAGCAACAAAAGGGCCCAGAGGGGACUUCUAGAACUCAGUGUUGAGCAGGAGAGCAGGAAGAGGAGGGAAGACAGAGGGACCUCCACCCACCUCUGACCCCUCUCCCUUCUCGUGGAACUCCCCCGGAGCGGCCGACAAUUCUCUCAUGGAUCAUUGACAGAAUCAGGUGCAUAGACUCCCCCAGACAAAGCACGGCAGACACCAUCACAAUUAUCCCAAAAGCCUUCUCCACAGCAACUGGCUGAUAGCAGGAGCCCAGAGUUUUAAAUGAAUGGAUGGUUAUCACCAUCAGGUCUUGUUGUUUGACACUUUUGAGGCAAUGAACAUUUAUAUAAUCAAAAGAGAAAAUCUAAAAGAAGUUUUCCUUGGACAAAAAGGUGCCCUCAGUUUUAGAGGCUUCAGCUCAUGAUCAACAGACCCCACUGUCUUUGGAAAUGUGGUGAGGAGGGACACCACGAAGGCAGAAAAACUAAUCCCCUCAUGGCCAUGGAGCAAGAGAGGAGGAAGAGCAGGCAAAGUCCAAUACCCACUUCUGCUGAGCAGUCUCCUUCCGAGGUCUUCCUCCUCCCCAUCAGCAGUUGUGAUCACGUGUGCAGUGCAGUGUCAGGGAGAGCACCUUCGACAACACCUAACUCCACAUCGCUCCGUGGCUUCUGAAAAUUCAGCUAUUUUGGUGGCUCCUGUUCAGAUGAAAAUACGAUGGUCCCUCUGAUCCAGGGCUCCACACUCAUUGAGUCUACCAACCAGGAAUUGAAAAUGUUUGGGGAAAAGAAUCCAUUCUAAAUACCGCAGACUUUA